ACAUUCAGCAAGUUCAGCAUAGUAAUGUCCAUUCAUAUACUGUAUCUUUUCGUGGUUUCAUUCUGUCUGCCCAAGUACAGCUAGAACUGCUGCAUCGGCAAUUUAAAUUGCAUAUCAUAGCCCUUCCACUGCAACCCCUAUCAUAGCUGUAUAUGCAAAACACGUGCCUUGUAUGCACAUUCUUUAUCGUUUGAUGCUGACCAAGUUGAAGAGGCGUGCCUAAUCUUAGAGCAACUAGUUAAUAUGUAAAUGAGUAUGGCUUUAUAAGAGACCCACGCCCCAGUGAUUAGCUCAAGGGACUUGCCUCUGUGGAUGAAGUAGGAUGAUAAUGGAGAAGCGACUUUCCUAGAGUCCCGAAUCUUCUCUACCUUGUGUCAGAUCUAAAAAUGGUCCAUGGCAAAAAAGGAUGAUGUCUAGGAAUUAGGGGUUGUGCUUUGGAUAUCAUCAUAUACUGUAAGUUUGUUAUACGCCACUACAGUAUAGAUGAUGUACUAUGCCAGACCUUGCUUACAGCGCCAACUACCAGGAGCCCAUGGACAAAGAAAAUGCCACCUGUGUAAAAAAAAUAUAAAAUCAACACUUUCCCAAACUAAUUUUCAUUAGGUAUUAUUUUACUAACCAUUGUGUAGACAUACUCUUACUUCAUACAUGUCCACAAAUACAUAUUUUAGUAAAAUGUACAGCUUUUAUUAUGAUAGGCAAAAAACUGAGCCUCGUUGGAAAGCCUUCAACAUCAUCCGGACAAAGUUUGUAGAGUCGGCGAUUAAACCGUUACCAUUACUGAGUUUAGUAAUGGUAAGGGUUCUAUUGCUGCUCUAAUAUCAUCUUCAAGACCACGAUGGAUUCCCACACAAUGCAUUGAAUAAUAAGUAGCAUGCUGCAUCAUUAACAACAAUCAUUGUAUGUCAUUCGAAAACAUUUAAUAAAGUGUUCUGGUUUUGCCUUAAA